AUUGAACGCUGGCGGCAGGCCUAACACAUGCAAGUCGAACGAGUGGUGGACGGGUGAGUAAUGUCUGGGAUACUGCCUGAUGGAGGGGGAUAACUACUGGAAACGGUAGCUAAUACCGCAUACCAUCGGAUGUGCCCAGAUGGGAUUAGCUAGUAGGUGGGGGAUAGGCUCACCUAGGCGACGAUCCCUAGCUGGUCUGAGAGGGUGACCAGCCAACCUGAAACAGAGACACGGUCCAGACUCCUACGGAGGGCAGCAGUGGGAAAUAUUGCACAAUGGGGGCGAGCCUGAUGAAGCCGUGCCGCGUGUAUGGAGAAGGCCUUCGAGUUGUAAAGUACGUGCAGCGAGGAGGCGUUACCCGCAGAAGAAGCACCGGCUAACUCCGUGCCAGCAGCCGCGGUGAUAC
rnacentral:rRNA from 1 species